GACAGAGGGUGCAAACGUUGUUCGGAAUUACUGGGCGUAAAGCGUGUGUAGGCGGCUAUGUAAGUCGGAUGUGAAAGCCCUGGGCUCAACCCAGGAAGUGCACUCGAUACUGCGUAGCUUGAGUACCGGAGAGGUUGGUGGAAUUCUCGGUGUAGAGGUGAAAUUCGUAGAUAUCGAGAGGAGCACCGGUGGCGAAGGCGGCCAACUGGACGAGUACUGACGCUGAGACACGAAAGCGUGGGGAGCAAACAGG
rnacentral:rRNA from 1 species